ACUAAUUGCUCAUUUUCUUGUUUCCUUGUGGACUCAUUCUUCAUGUUUGCUUCAAUAAACAACAGAAGAUGAAGCAAAUCAGUGAGGACAGAACGUGUCCCCUCUGCACUUUCUCCAUGUAGAAAAGAUGAUUUCCCACGUUCUUUCCCUAUGCCUGUAACUGAGCGUUUUGUAUCAUAACUGCACUUGAUUUUCUAAGACAGAAGCUGUUAUGGCAAGACACUGAUCUCAUUCUUCCUCCAGAACGGUGAAAUUUGAAGCACAAAUAGGCCUUCUGCUAUUUGGGCAGAUACAAUAUGUACAAUGCAAGAUAUAUAAAAUGUGAGUAUACACAAUGCAUAUACAGUGUACAUUCUGAGAUCCAUAUUAUUAGUGUGUAUAUAUAUAAUGUAUUGUAUAAUGUAAUAAUAGUGUGUGUAUAUACUAUACAUGCCCACCUACUAUGCCUAGUAUAUAGUUACUUGUACUGUACAUAAGAUGUGUAUAUACAACAGAUAUGU
ensembl:lncRNA